UUUUAUUUGAGAGUUUGAUCCUGGCUCAGGAUGAACGCUGGCGGCGUGGAUAAGGCAUGCAAGUCGAACGCUCGUUCGUGCCUCACUGCAUUCGGCACGAACUUAAAUGCAAAAUGCAAAACGCAAAAUGCAAAAUAACAACUCAAAAUGCAAAAUAAAUUUUAAAAAAUGUUUUGAGUUUUGCACUGUUGUUUUUCGCUUUUCGUUUUUCGCUUUACGCUUAGUUCGUGCCGAGCAUAGCGAGGCGCGAGCGAUAGUGGCGAACGGGUUAGUAACACGUAGAUACAAACCCUUUUCACGGGCAUAACCAAUUGAAAGAUUGGCUAAUUCCCGAUAGUCCGAGCACUUAGUUUGCUGAGUGCUCGGUAAAGGUGUAAAGUAAUUUAUGCCGGAAGAGGAUUGGUCUGCGGUCUAUCAGCUUGUUGGUGAGGUAAUGGCUCACCAAGGCAAUGACGGAUAG
rnacentral:rRNA from 1 species